UUCAAGAGGUGUUUUAUUUCUCCAGUCUUUCUGUUAUUGUCAGCUCUCUCCUCAAGAGUCUUCUGUCCUUCAAGUUCCAACAAACUAAAGCCAAGUUUCAGCUACCUGGGAAUAUUUCUGGGUGAAUUGCCUCCAGUGCUUACCAAUGGCCUGGAAGAAGGCAUGUCCACACACGGGAUAAAGCUUUCUGAUUGUACAAAGCACGCUGCAGGACUGUCAACACAAAUGAGGAAAAAGCUAUGCCCAGAAGGCACUGAAUAGGCUACAAACUGAGGGAAGAGCAGGAAAUUGAGCAAGAGCAAAAAUGAUAGGUUAAAACUUGGGGACAAAGUCGAAAGGUCCUCAGUAAUGAAGAAAUUUGAAUUAGCUGAUGGCACCCUUGUUGAGAAAGACUUAAUUUCCUGGAGUGUUCACAUGAGCUUCACAGCCUGAGCACAGGGGAUGCUUCCAUUACAAGGGCUCCGUGUCAAGGGUUACUGAUUGUUCCUCUUAUACUGGAGCUCAUUUUCAAGUUCACCCCAGUGAUGAACUCAUUUUCUUAUACUCUCCUGAAAGUUUAGGAAAAAGAAGUAAUUACACUCAAAGUGCUUUGUGGGUAAUAAUACACUACAAUUUAAUUUUUUAUAAUUUUGCUGGUGUAAAAAUAUGUUACGACAAGAAUGUUGACAGGAAAUGCAGAUGAAGUUUGUCCUCUUUGACCUAUUUGAGAUGUGAUGAUCGCUCAGAUCACAGGUGCCAUUAGUCAUACAACAGGUACUCCAACCACAUCCUCACCUUUUUUUUUUCUUCUCAUUCUACCAGUAGACAGCGAUUGUUUUCUUCAGGUGUGGACUUUGUAAUAAAGGUCUAUCUUUUUCAUUACAAAGUUGCAUUACUGUCCUGAGAUUGUUUUGUAAAUUCUUUAAGGCCAGAGUGAAAGACCUAUAUACUUCUUGGAGACUGUGGAAUGUCUUAGCAGGUACAACACAGGGCAGAGAAGAAAUUCAGAAAUUAAAAUAAAGCUUAAAAAAUGGUGGUUUAGCUGAUGAAAACUCUAUUGUCAGUAAUCAAAAAGGCUUUUCCCCUGUAUCUGAGUGAUAUACAAUAUCACCUGAACACUGGAAAUGAAAUGAUCUAAAAUGCAAGAAUUAAAAGCAGAUAUAGAGGGCACAAGGCUCAUGUUUAUAUGGUGCAUGACAGUAUUGAUGCCUGUUGAAUGUUGAUGUAACUUUGUCCAUGAAAAUGCAGCAGACCAGGGACCUUUAUUUUUUUUAGGAGGGUACAGAACUAUUGGUUAUGCAACUUAGACCUGGGAAGUGGCAUGGGGUUGGUUUUGGCUUCUUUGACAUGGUUUUGGAUAAGAUUUUGGUAUGUGAGCUUAAACGGAGCUCAGAUUGCAAGCUUCAAGAAUUCAUCAUUUUUAGUGGCUUGCAAAAGUGGUCCAAAAAUGAAAUCCUGUGGGACAACUGAUGUUUGAAGAAACGCCACAAUUAAAAAAGAAAUAAGGAACAUGAAGUAGCUAUUGGAAAAUGUGGUUCAUUUUAUAAUAUGAUUGAAUAAUAGAACAAACACUUACGAACCCACAACUAAGCCUGAAAGUGUGGGACACAGUUUUAGAUAGAAAUAACAUGCAGCCAACUGUUGCAGAAAUAAGCAAAGUGAUGUAAUUGGUGAGGUCCUGAAACGUAUGUGCUGCCAGUUUUUUAAAUGCACCAGGCAAACUUGAAUUUGUAUUUGUUUUGACUCAAUCCCCUGAAAUAAAUUUGGAUCAGAUAUUUAAAAUCCAAUUAUGCUAUCUGCCAUAUUUCGAAUGCUAAAAUAAACCCCCCUAAAGGAAAUAAGGUCUCCUUGCUGCUUUCAUGUGGGUAUUAGUGCUGGGAACAACCAAAGAACACUGUCAUCUUGGUAUCCUCUCGGUUAACACAAUGGUUUCACUUCGCUUUUGACUCCCACUAAGGCAAUGGUAUAUUGGAAAAAAAACACAGGAACUUCUUUCUCCCCACUAAAAAUAUACAUGAUGCUCAUUAAAACCUAAAUGCAUUGCCAACG
ensembl:lncRNA